rnacentral:rRNA from 1 species
UGACCUCGAAUCAGAUGAGAAUACCCGCUGAACUUAAGC